rnacentral:rRNA from 1 species
UAAUACGGAGGGUGCAAGCGUUGUCCGGAUUUAUUGGGUUUAAAGGGUGCGUAGGCGGCUUAUUAAGUCAGGGGUGAAAGACUAUUGCUUAACAAUGGCAGUGCCUUUGAUACUGAUAGGCUUGAGUACAGCUGAGGCAGAUGGAACGGGUGGUGUAGCGGUGAAAUGCAUAGAUACCAUCCAGAACACCGAUUGCGAAGGCAGUCUGCUAAACUGUAACUGACGCUGAGGCACGAAAGCGUGGGGAUCGAACAGGAUUAGAUACCCUGGUAGUCCACGCCGUAAACGAUGAUGACUCGAUGUUAGGGAUAUACUCUUAGCGUCCAAGCGAAAGCGUUAAGUCAUCCACCUGGGGAGUACGCCCGCAAGGGUG